AACGAACGCUGGCGGCAUGCCUAACACAUGCAAGUCGAACGAGACCUUCGGGUCUAGUGGCGCACGGGUGCGUAACGCGUGGGAACCUGCCCUUAGGUUCGGAAUAACUCCCCGAAAGGGGUGCUAAUACCGGAUAAUGUCUUCGGACCAAAGAUUUAUCGCCUUUGGAUGGGCCCGCGUUGGAUUAGCUAGUUGGUAGGGUAAAAGCCUACCAAGGCGACGAUCCAUAGCUGGUCUGAGAGGAUGAUCAGCCACACUGGGACUGAGACACGGCCCAGACUCCUACGGGAGGCAGCAGUGGGGAAUAUUGGACAAUGGGCGAAAGUCUGAUCCAGCAAUGCCGCGUGAGUGAUGAAGGCCGUAGGGUUGUAAAGCUCUUUUACCCGGGAUGAUAAUGACAGUACCGGGAGAAUAAGCACCGGCUAACUCCGUG
rnacentral:rRNA from 1 species